rnacentral:antisense_RNA from 1 species
GCUUUCCCCCAGGUUGUGACUGGGUGAUAAGCGAAGCCUGAACUGGUGCCAGCCGGUUCAGGCUUCUUUCAUUUUUAAGU